UGUACUACGAUUAUCUGCACUCUAGAUAAGAUAACCGCGAUGAGUAUGUUACACUCAGACAGUAUUGCGCACGCUAGUAGGAUAUUGUCAUAAUAAUAAUGUAGAGAGCAACCAGACUCUAUUAUUUCUACUAUGAUAAGGUCUGAGAGGGAUACGAUCGUAACUCCCCGCACAUAGGAAUACUGAUCAUCAUGGGUAGGUCACUGUAGUCGUAAGCGAGAAAUUAGGAAACUACAGGAUAUAUCUUCGGUCCC